AGGUGGGGCUGAUGACUGGGGUGAAGUCGUAACAAGGUAUCCGUACCGGAAGGUGCGGAUGGAUCACCUCCUAACAGGGAGACAACACAAUGAUUUUGAUGCCUGAGUGCUUUUAUUCUUAGGCCGAAAUCCUGUCACCUUAGGUCGAUCGGUACCUCAGCUUUGAAGUCAAGGAUCAGCAGCAAUGUUGAUUGCUUGAUGGAGAUUUUCAGUUCCUAAACUUUGUCUAGGUCACACCCCAAAAGGGAUGAGACUCCUGGGCCAUUAGCUCAGGUGGUUAGAGCGCACCCCUGAUAAGGGUGAGGUCCCUGGUUCAAGUCCAGGAUGGCCCAUUCGGUGUUGGGGGUUUAGCUCAGUUGGUAGAGCGCCUGCUUUGCAAGCAGGAUGUCAGGAGUUCGAGUCUCCUAACCUCCACUGACCGAACUUGAUUCCCAUCUCCAAUUUUUUGGAGUUGAGCUCGAUUGGAGUGUGAUUUAGAUGUGUCCGCUGGAUGACCCCAGCUUCCUGUCAUUCCAAGUUUUAGGUUGAUGCCUUGAAUUUGGUUGAUAAGAUGCUGGGCUCGGAUCAAAUGAUCAAGCAAUUGAUGAUUUGAUUUGAAGUUCUAGCAGAACCUUGACAACUGCAUAGGUGAGUCUGGAAAAAACAAAGCAUCUUACAGAUGCAUUGUUUUGAAUCUGAUCUUCUGAAAGGGAGAUUGGAUCUAGAACAAUGAAAAUUCUUUUGAGCAAGAGCCGAGACUCUUGAGCGUUCUUUGAUUGGUGUCGAGCCAAUCAGAGUUUGAUCUUGUUUUUAGCAAUAAAAACUUGAGAAUCUGCUUUCAACGGCGGUAAGCGUUCAAGAGGUUAAUUGGUCAAGCUACAAAGGGCUCACGGCG
rnacentral:misc_RNA from 1 species